rnacentral:tRNA from 1 species
UAGUUAUUAAUUUAAUAAAAAUAUUAAUUUUGUAAAUUAAAAAUAAGUUAAUUACUUAUAACUAA